rnacentral:rRNA from 1 species
UACGGGGGGGGUAAGCGUUGUUCGGAAUUACUGGGCGUAAAGGGCUCGUAGGCGGCCAACUAAGUCGGACGUGAAAUCCCUCAGCUUAACUGGGGAACUGCGUCCGAUACUGGAUGGCUUGGAUUUGGGAGAGGGAUGCGGAAUUCCAGGUGUAGCGGUGAAAUGCGUAGAUAUCGAGAGGAACACCUGCGGCGAAGGCGGGUUGCUGGGCCGACACUGACGCUGAUGCGCGAAAGCCAGGGGAGGCGAACGGG